GCAGUCGAGCGGACAGAAGGGAGCUUGCUCCCGGAUGUUAGCGGCGGACGGGUGAGUAACACGUGGGUAACCUGCCUGUAAGACUGGGAUAACUCCGGGAAACCGGAGCUAAUACCGGAUAGUUCCUUGAACCGCAUGGUUCAAGGAUGAAAGACGGUUUCGGCUGUCACUUACAGAUGGACCCGCGGCGCAUUAGCUAGUUGGUGGGGUAAUGGCUCACCAAGGCGACGAUGCGUAGCCGACCUGAGAGGGUGAUCGGCCACACUGGGACUGAGACACGGCCCAGACUCCUACGGGAGGCAGCAGUAGGGAAUCUUCCGCAAUGGACGAAAGUCUGACGGAGCAACGCCGCGUGAGUGAUGAAGGUUUUCGGAUCGUAAAGCUCUGUUGUUAGGGAAGAACAAGUGCGAGAGUAACUGCUCGCACCUUGACGGUACCUAACCAGAAAGCCACGGCUAACUACGUGCCAGCAGCCGCGGUAAUACGUAGGUGGCAAGCGUUGUCCGGAAUUAUUGGGCGUAAAGGGCUCGCAGGCGGUUUCUUAAGUCUGAUGUGAAAGCCCCCGGCUCAACCGGGGAGGGUCAUUGGAAACUGG
rnacentral:rRNA from 1 species